GUGGGGAAUAUUGGGCAAUGGGCGAAAGCCUGACCCAGCAACGCCGCGUGAAGGAAGAAGGUUUUCGGAUCGUAAACUUCUAUCCUUGGUGAAGAUAAUGACGGUAGCCAAGAAGGAAGCCCCGGCUAACUACGUGCCAGCAGCCGCGGUAAUACGUAGGGGGCAAGCGUUGUCCGGAAUGAUUGGGCGUAAAGGGCGCGUAGGCGGCCUGGUAAGUCUGGAGUGAAAGUCCUGCUUUUAAGGUGGGAAUUGCUUUGGAUACUGUCGGGCGUGAGUGCAGGAGAGGUAAGUGGAAUUCCCGGUGUAGCGGUGAAAUGCGUAGAGAUCGGGAGGAACACCAGUGGCGAAGGCGACUUACUGGACUGUAACUGACGCUGAGGCGCGAAAGUGUGGGGAGCAAACAGGAUUAGAAACCCUGGUAGUCC
rnacentral:rRNA from 1 species